CAAAACUCAUGUUGAAAUGUAAUCCCCAAGGUAGCAGUAUGGAGAGGUAGAGCCUUGAAGAGGUGAUUGGUCUGCCCUCAUGAAUGGAUUAAUCCAUUGAUGGAUCAAUGGGUUAAUGGAUUAUCAUAGGAGGGGAACGGGUGGCUUUAUAUUAGGAGGAAGAGAUACCUGGGCUAACAUGCUCCACUUCCUCAUCAUGUGAUGUCCUGUGCUACCAUGAGACUCUACAGAGUUCCCAGCAGCAAGAAGGCCCUGAGCAGAUAUGGCCCUCUGACCUUGGACUUCUCAGCCUCCGUGACUAAGCCACUGAGACAGUGGUGGGGCAGCCACCUUCUCGUUCUUCUUCUUCUUCCUGCUUUCCCUCAGAGAUGGACUCUUAAUAAGAUAUCUCAGAAGCUGGACUGGCCUAACUGGAGAUAAAACUUGAAUUAAAAGAAGAGGCAAGAACUGGUGCUUCAUUCAUCUCUCCCAUCAACUCUCUCUUUGUGGUCCUGAUUUGUCAGUGAGAAUGUACUGGAGUUUGCAAAGGAGAAAAAAAAACCACAGAGCUUUUCUCCCAAUUGUCUGCUUUCAGAAUGAAGAAGGAGAAGUCAACAUUUGGGAAGUGUUUACCAUGGACCAGGAGGUAAUAUAACACAUCAUUUAACUCUCCCAACUAGCCUGGAGCACAGAUUCCACUACCUCCCCAUAACAAUGAGAAAAGCAAGGCUCAGAGAGGCUUAGACACUCAUGCUGUAUGU
ensembl:lncRNA LINC02291 long intergenic non-protein coding RNA 2291